UACAGAGGGUGCGAGCGUUGUCCGGAAUCACUGGGCGUAAAGGGCGCGUAGGCGGCCUGUUAAGUCGGACGUGAAAUCCCUCGGCUCAACCGGGGAACUGCGUCCGAUACUGGCGGGCUUGAAUUCGGGAGAGGGAUGUGGAAUUCCAGGUGUAGCGGUGAAAUGCGUAGAUAUCUGGAGGGACACCGGUGGCGAAGGCGGCAUCCUGGACCGACAUUGACGCUGAGGCGCGAAAGCCAGGGGAGCAAACGGG
rnacentral:rRNA from 1 species